UGUCACCUUCCUCCUGGAUCGGCUGAACGGCAACGCAGAGGAUCAAGAUGCCCAGAACAACUUCAUUCCAGAGGAGUUGAAUGCUGGGAGGGGCCGGGUGGAACUGGAAUUCAGUAUGGCCAUGGGCACUCUGAUCUCCGAGCUGGUGCAAGCCAUGCGCUGGGACUGGGCCUCAAGCAGAUCAGAGAGCUCCUCUCCCAUUUUCCAGCCUCCGCCAACAGAGUUCUUCCGCCCCCGUGCCCAGCGUUUCAGGAGGUCAAGGCGGUUUCGCCCGCGCACCGCAUUUGCGAGUGUCAACACCUAUGCCUUGUAUGUGCGGGAUACGCUACGGCCCGGGAUGCGGGUACGGAUGCUGGAGGAUUUCGAGGAGAUCAGUGCUGGGGACGAA
rnacentral:lncRNA from 1 species